rnacentral:rRNA from 1 species
CAGUAGCCGCGGGAAUACGUAGGGUGCAAGCGUUAAUCGGAAUUACUGGGCGUAAAGCGUGCGCAGGCGGUUAUAUAAGACAGAUGUGAAAUCCCCGGGCUCAACCUGGGAACUGCAUUUGUGACUGUAUAGCUAGAGUACGGCAGAGGGGGAUGGAAUUCCGCGUGUAGCAGUGAAAUGCGUAGAUAUGCGGAGGAACACCGAUGGCGAAGGCAAUCCCCUGGGCCUGUACUGACACUGAGGCACGAAAGCGUGGGGAGCAAACAGGAUUAGAUACCCGGGUAGUCCCUGUCUCUUAUAC